ensembl:snRNA U6 U6 spliceosomal RNA
GUGCUUCGGCAGCACAUAUGCUAAAAUUGGAACGAUAGAGAGAAGAUUAGCAUGGCCCCUGUGCAAGGAUGACACGCAAAUUCGUGAAGCGGUCCAUUUUUUU